UACAGGGAGUGGCAAACGGCUGAGUAACGCGUAGGAACCUACCCCAAACUCGAGUAUAGCCCCGCGAAAGCGGGUGUAAUCCUCGAUAGCCCGUGAAGUAUUUUACUUCACGGUAAAGCUUUUGAGGUUUGGGAUGGGCCUGCGUCCUAUGUUGUAUUAGGUGAGGUAAAUGCUCACCAAGCCUAUGACGGGUAGCUGGUCUGAGAGGAUGGUCAGCCAGACUGGGACUGCGACACGGCCCAGACUCCUACGGGAGGCAGCAACUAGGAAUUGUGCGCAAUGGACGAAAGUCUGACGCCGCGACAUCGCGUGGAGGAUGAAGGUCUUCGGAUUGUAAACUCCUUUUCUUACCGAACAAGUUCUGAGUGUAGGUAAGGAAUAAGUGCCUGCUAACCACGUGCCAGAAGCAUCGGUAAUACGUGGGGCACGAGCGUUAUCCGGAUUUACUGGGCGUAAAGAGAAGCGUAGGCGGCUCAAUAAGUUUGGUGUUAAAUCUUCCGGCUCAACCGGAAACAAGCACCGAAAACUAUCGAGAUUGAGUCGAGUAGGGAAGAGGGGAAUUCCUGGUGGAGCGGUUAAAUGCGUAGAUAUCAGGAGGAAUACCAAGGGCGAAGGCACCUCUUUGGACUCGUACUGACGCUGAGGCUCGAAAGCGUGGGUAGCAAAACGGAUUAGAUACCCGUGUAGUCCACGCCGUAAACGAUCCCUGUUAGAUGU
rnacentral:rRNA from 1 species